rnacentral:rRNA from 1 species
CCCGCUGAACUUAAGCAUAUCAAUAAGCGGAGGAAAAGAAACCAACAGGGAUUGCCUCAGUAACGGCGAGUGAAGCGGCAACAGCUCAAAUUUGAAAUCUGGCUCUUUCAGGGUCCGAGUUGUAAUUUGUAGAAGAUGCUUCGGGUGUGGCUCUGGUCUAAGUUCCUUGGAACAGGACGUCAUAGAGGGUGAGAAUCCCGUAUGUGACUGGUUGCCUUCGCCUAUGUGAAGCUCUUUCGACGAGUCGAGUUGUUUGGGAAUGCAGCUCAAAAUGGGUGGUAAAUUUCAUCUAAAGCUAAAUAUUGGCCAGAGACCGAUAGCGCACAAGUAGAGUGAUCGAAAGAUGAAAAGCACUUUGGAAAGAGAGUUAAACAGUACGUGAAAUUGUUGAAAGGGAAGCGCUUGCAACCAGACUUGCGCGCUGCUGAUCAUCCGGGGUUCUCUCCGGUGCACUCGGUUGCGCUCAGGCCAGCAUCGGUUUGGGUGGUUGGAUAAAGGCUGUGGGAAUGUGGCUUCUCUCGGGGAGUGUUAUAGCCCACGGUGCAAUGCAGCCUACCCGGACCGAGGACCGCGCUCCGGCUCGGAUGUUGGCGUAAUGGUUGUCAGCGACCCGUCUUGAAACACGG